rnacentral:rRNA from 1 species
UACCUUAGUACGGCGAGUGAAGCGGUAAAAGCUCAAAUUUGAAAUCUGGUACUUUCAGUGCCCGAGUUGUAAUUUGUAGAAUUUGUCUUUGAUUAGGUCCUUGUCUAUGUUCCUUGGAACAGGACGUCAUAGAGGGUGAGAAUCCCGUUUGGCGAGGAUACCUUUUUUCUGUAAGACUUUUUCGAAGAGUCGAGUUGUUUGGGAAUGCAGCUCAAAGUGGGUGGUAAAUUCCAUCUAAAGCUAAAUAUUGGCGAGAGACCGAUAGCGAACAAGUACAGUGAUGGAAAGAUGAAAAGAACUUUGAAAAGAGAGUGAAAAAGUACGUGAAAUUGUUGAAAGGGAAGGGCAUUUGAUCAGACAUGGUGUUUUUUGCAUGCACUCGCCUCUCGUGGGCUUGGGCCUCUCAAAAAUUUCACUGGGCCAACAUCAAUUCUGGCAGUAGGAUAAAUAA